ACAUACUUCCUUACAUAGCCGCAGUGUUCUGAGCUUUGUGGAAUGUAAAGAAGUAUGUUU
rnacentral:pre_miRNA from 1 species